CUCAAAAAUAUUUAUUGUUGUAAGUGUUUAGUUUAAAAAAAGAGCUGUUGUUUAAAAAAAAAUAUGCCUAAAUUGUCGACGUGUUUGGUAAAUGCCUGCGAGCAAGGAAAUAUUCAAAUUCUCCAGGCCUUGCCCAGAAAAAAUCGCGUUAAUUACUUCCCUUCGCGCUCUAUAAUUAAGGGUUCAAUUAUCAUAAUUCUAUUCAAUAUGUGUUUACUUUAUUUGGGCUAUCUCGCUUAUAAGUAUCUGAACACUUUACAAGAUGAGCAGAAGCUUCAAAUAUCCAACUAUUUAUGUAGCUUGGGUGCUUUUGUGGUUAUCAUCUCACUCCUCCGAAAUAGUGACAUGUCAAAGAAUAAUCCAUACUUCUACUACAUUUAAGCCGUAUAUGAGAAAGGAAAAUUUGAAGCGACAUUGUUUAAUAGGUAAUCCAAAUGUUUGUCAUCAUUUUAUUGGAAUUAUUGUAUCCUGCAAAUACAGUUAAAUACUGUAUUUAAACAGGACUUUUCUAAAUAGAAAUCCUGUCAUUACUUAAAUUCAUGUACACAUAACACAUACUUCUAAACGAUCUAAUUAUUUCAUUUCUACAGCAUCUGUCCAAGAAGAAUCCUUAUAGUAAAUCAUAAUAGUCAUAGUUAUAAUGAUUAACCGUGUCAUGUGUUAAAUAAACGGUUGCGUUCUUGACAAAAAAUAAAGAAA